UGGGGAAUUUUGCACAAUGGGCGCAAGCCUGACCCCGCCACGCCGCGUGAGUGAUGAAGGCCCUAGGGUUGUAAAGCUCUUUCACCGGGGAAGAUAAUGACGGUAACCGGAGAAGAAGCCCCGGCUGACACCGUGCCAGCAGCCGCGGUAAAACGCAGGGGGCUAGCGUUGUUCGUAUUUACUGGGCGUAAAGCGCACGUAGGCGGUCUUUUAAGUCAGGGGUGAAAUCCCGGGGCUCAACCCCGGGGGUGCAUUUGAUACUGGAAAGCUUGAGUGUGGUAGAGGUGAGUGGAAUUCCGAGUGUAGAGGUGAAAUUCGCAGAGAUACGGAGGAACACCAGUGGGGAAGGCGGCUCACUGGACCAUUACUGACGCUGAGGUGCGAAAGCGUGGGGAGCAAACAGG
rnacentral:rRNA from 1 species